UUGAAGAGUUUGAUCAUGGCUCAGAUUGAACGCUGGCGGCAGGCCUAACACAUGCAAGUCGAACGGUAACAGGAAACAGCUUGCUGUUUCGCUGACGAGUGGCGGACGGGUGAGUAAUGUCUGGGAAACUGCCUGAUGGAGGGGGAUAACUACUGGAAACGGUAGCUAAUACCGCAUAACGUCGCAAGACCAAAGAGGGGGACCUUCGGGCCUCUUGCCAUCGGAUGUGCCCAGAUGGGAUUAGCUAGUAGGUGGGGUAACGGCUCACCUAGGCGACGAUCCCUAGCUGGUCUGAGAGGAUGACCAGCCACACUGGAACUGAGACACGGUCCAGACUCCUACGGGAGGCAGCAGUGGGGAAUAUUGCACAAUGGGCGCAAGCCUGAUGCAGCCAUGCCGCGUGUAUGAAGAAGGCCUUCGGGUUGUAAAGUACUUUCAGCGGGGAGGAAGGGAGUAAAGUUAAUACCUUUGCUCAUUGACGUUACCCGCAGAAGAAGCACCGGCUAACUCCGUGCCAGCAGCCGCGGUAAUACGGAGGGUGCAAGCGUUAAUCGGAAUUACUGGGCGUAAAGCGCACGCAGGCGGUUUGUUAAGUCAGAUGUGAAAUCCCCGGGCUCAACCUGGGAACUGCAUCUGAUACUGGCAAGCUUGAGUCUCGUAGAGGGGGGUAGAAUUCCAGGUGUAGCGGUGAAAUGCGUAGAGAUCUGGAGGAAUACCGGUGGCGAAGGCGGCCCCCUGGACGAAGACUGACGCUCAGGUGCGAAAGCGUGGGGAGCAAACAGGAUUAGAUACCCUGGUAGUCCACGCCGUAAACGAUGUCGACUUGGAGGUUGUGCCCUUGAGGCGUGGCUUCCGGAGCUAACGCGUUAAGUCGACCGCCUGGGGAGUACGGCCGCAAGGUUAAAACUCAAAUGAAUUGACGGGGGCCCGCACAAGCGGUGGAGCAUGUGGUUUAAUUCGAUGCAACGCGAAGAACCUUACCUGGUCUUGACAUCCACGGAAGUUUUCAGAGAUGAGAAUGUGCCUUCGGGAACCGUGAGACAGGUGCUGCAUGGCUGUCGUCAGCUCGUGUUGUGAAAUGUUGGGUUAAGUCCCGCAACGAGCGCAACCCUUAUCCUUUGUUGCCAGCGGUCCGGCCGGGAACUCAAAGGAGACUGCCAGUGAUAAACUGGAGGAAGGUGGGGAUGACGUCAAGUCAUCAUGGCCCUUACGACCAGGGCUACACACGUGCUACAAUGGCGCAUACAAAGAGAAGCGACCUCGCGAGAGCAAGCGGACCUCAUAAAGUGCGUCGUAGUCCGGAUUGAGUCUGCAACUCGACUCCAUGAAGUCGGAAUCGCUAGUAAUCGUGGAUCAGAAUGCCACGGUGAAUACGUUCCCGGGCCUUGUACACACCGCCCGUCACACCAUGGGAGUGGGUUGCAAAAGAAGUAGGUAGCUUAACCUUCGGGAGGGCGCUUACCACUUUGUGAUUCAUGACUGGGGUGAAGUCGUAACAAGGUAACCGUAGGGGAACCUGCGGUUGGAUCACCUCCUU
rnacentral:rRNA from 1 species